rnacentral:rRNA from 1 species
AGCGUAGGCGGACAUUUAAGUCAGGGGUGUAAUCCCGGGGCUCAACCUCGGAAUUGCCUUUGAUACUGGGUGUCUUGAGUAUGAGAGAGGUGUGUGGAACUCCGAGUGUAGAGGUGAAAUUCGUAGAUAUUCGGAAGAACACCAGUGGCGAAGGCGACACACUGGCUCAUUACUGACGCUGAGGCUCGAAAGCGUGGGGAGCAAACA